GUUUUGCCGGCGUCAUUGUCAGCUCCUCUUAAAUGCAUUAGCGGAACUUUAUUAAAGGACCAGCUUUGGUUUGAUAAUCCUAUCUAUGCCGUCGCUGUGGACUUACUUGUUCAGCUUCAAUGGUCUUCGGACUGUCUCUUUGUGAGGCAUACACUUUUAAGCUUGACCUCAAAUCAGGUAGGACUACCCGCUGAACUUAA
rnacentral:misc_RNA from 1 species